UAAGCCAGUUAAUGGAUUCUGGUCUAAGCAGUGAGGUUUGGUAUGAGUCAAAUGCUUGUACCUCUAAGAUUGAGCUGUGAUGGGGAAGCACUUUCGAGUGCGAAGUACCUGAUGUCACACUGCCAAGAAAAUCUUCUAGCGUUUAAUUAUAACCUACACGUACCGCAAACCGACACAGGUAGUCGAGGCGAGUAGCCUCAGGUGAGCGAGAGAACUCUCGUUAAGGAACUCGGCAAAAUGACCCCGUAACUUCGGGAGAAGGGGUGCUCUACAUUUGUAGAGCCGCAGUGAAUAGGCCCAAGCGACUGUUUAUCAAAAACACAGCUCUCUGCUAAAUCGUAAGAUGAUGUAUAGGGGGUGACGCCUGCCCGGUGCUGGAAGGUUAAGAGGAGUGCUUAGCGUAAGCGAAGGUAUGAAUUGAAGCCCCAGUAAACGGCGGCCGUAACGAUAACGGUCCUAAGGUAGCGAAAUUCCUUGUCGGGUAAGUUCCGACCCGCACGAAAGGCGUAACGAUUUGGGCACUGUCUCAACGAGAGACUCGGCGAAAUUUUAGUACCUGUGAAGAUGCAGGUUACCCGCGACAGGACGGAAAGACCCCAUGGAGCUUUACUGCAAGUUGAUAUUGAGUAUCUGUUGCACAUGUACAGGAUAGGUAGGAGCCAUUGAUCUGAGGACGCUAGUUUUCAGUGAGGCGAUGUUGGGAUACUACCCUUGUGUCAUGGCUACUCUAACCCGCAUGCCUAAUCGGCAUGGGAGACAGUGUCUGCUGGGCAGUUUGACUGGGGCGGUCGCCUCCUAAAGAGUAACGGAGGCGCUCAAAGUUUCCCUCAGCAUGGUUGGAAAUCAUGCGUAGAGUGUAAAGGUAUAAGGGAGAUAGACUGCGAGACUUACAAGUCGAGCAGGUACGAAAGUAGGACUUAGUGAUCCGGUGGUACCGCAUGGAAGGGCCAUCGCUCAACGGAUAAAAGCUACCCUGGGGAUAACAGGCUUAUCUCCCCCAAGAGUUCACAUCGACGGGGAGGUUUGGCACCUCGAUGUCGGCUCGUCGCAUCCUGGGGCUGUAGUCGGUCCCAAGGGUUGGGCUGUUCGCCCAUUAAAGCGGCACGCGAGCUGGGUUCAGAACGUCGUGAGACAGUUCGGUCCCUAUCCGUCGCGGGCGUAGGAAAUUUGAGAGGAUCUGCCCUUAGUACGAGAGGACCGGGGUGGACUUACCGCUGGUGUACCAGUUGUCUUGCCAAAGGCAUCGCUGGGUAGCUAUGUAGGGAACGGAUAAACGCUGAAAGCAUCUAAGUGUGAAACCAACCUCAAGAUGAGAUUUCCCAUUCUUUAUGAAUUAAGAGCCCUGAGAGAUGAUCAGGUAGAUAGGCUAGAAGUGGAAGGACAGUGAUGUUUGGAGCGGACUGGUACUAAUAGC
rnacentral:rRNA from 1 species